UGGACUUGAAUUAUAUUAAGUUUUGAAAUUUUCUA
rnacentral:sRNA from 1 species